rnacentral:lncRNA from 1 species
UUCACUUUAUAUUGGUGGAAAAGUAAGUAAAUACAAUAUCUCACCAUUUAGGAAAAACCUAGAGAGAUAAUUAUUUUGAAGUGCAUCACUCAUAAGACUACUAGAUGUCUAUAGAUCGUUAGAUUUCUAACCUGUCGCAUCAGAUACUCUUGCGAAAUUUCUCCUGCCAAGAUCCUGACAACAAAUAAAUUAACAAGCAAUGCCAA